CGCCGGUGGCCUAGCACUGCUGGGGGACCCAGUACACCCUCCGCAGCCGCUGGCCCGGGUGCUAGGCCCCUCACUGCCUGGGCCGGCCGGCCGCUCCGAGUGCAGGGCCCGCCAAGCCCACGCCCACCCGGAACUCCAGCUAGCCCGCAAGCGCUGCGCGCAGCCCCGGUUCCCGCUGGCGCCUCUCCCUCCACACCUCCCUGCAAGCUGAGGGAGCCGGCUCUGGCCUUGGCCAGCCCAGAAAGGGGCUCUCACAGUGCAGCAGCGGGCCGAAGGGCUCCUCAAGUGCCGCCAAAGUGGGAACCCAGGCAGAGGAGGCGCCGAGAGCAAGCGAGGGCUCUGAGGACUGCCAGCACGCUGUCACCUCUCACCAUGAAAGGGUGCUUCUUGCUUGAAACAAGAGGAUCUUGUGGCUUGAUAAAAUGUUUGGAAUACCCAAGGAGGGCCUCCUUUUGAAGGCUUAUGCAGUGCAGCCUCUCUCAAGAUCUCAGUUUACUCAGAGAAGAAAGGUGAACUGCAUUUGUUCCAAGUAAAAUAUACAUCUGUAUUAUUCACCAUCACACCCCUAUUCCAUUACAAACAAAUACUGACCUUGUUCUUCUGAUGUGAAGCCAGAGGGAGUGUGAAAUAUAGCAAGGAGAACAGUCUGAUGCAGAAAUAUGAAAGUUCCAAGCAACAGAAACGCGGUAUUUAAAAGGAGUAGAGAAGGGCCCCAACUUGGUCUUUCUAAUUCCUUCUCUGCAGCUGACCCUGGGGAAAGUAACUCAAUAGUUAUCAGUCGCUUUGGGGAAACUGCCUACAUUAGUUCAGAUUGCCAGUUGGAUUUUUUCACUCUAGGAUCUAUGUGUUGGUAGUCUCUCUGUUUUUUCUUUUGGCCUUAAGAACUUCUCUUGAGAACGCUCUGUGUGUGUGUGUGUGUGUGUGUGUGUGUGUGUACAUGAACUUUUGACCUAAGUACUAGAAACCAGUUUCCAUUUGGAUGCCAAGCACGUUUCCUCCUUUUAGCAGGGCUGGGAGCUACCGCUUUGUGAUUUCUCUCAUCACGAUGUUCUAGGAAAAGGCUUUUGAAUGGUGGAGAAACUCAGCUAACAUUACAUUAGAAGAAAGACGGGGAACACAGUUUGGGAGAAUAUGUACAAGAUAUGAGAUUUUGAUGUUCAAUGAAAACCAUACCCAAUGUUUUCUCUUGUAAAGUGGGGUAAGAUGAGGAUUAAAUGAGAUAAUAUAGUUGUUUCUCCUACAGUGCCAUAUACAUCUUUCUAAAAAAUAAAUGUAAUGUAGAAUUUCAUGCAAUAAAAAUGAUGAGCCUUCUGGGAAAAAUUUAAUUGGGUGAAACACAACACCUGUAUAGUCUAGUAAGGAAUACUCUUCUAAAACCCUAAUAAAAGCUUUAAAAAUCUCAAGUCCCU
rnacentral:lncRNA from 1 species